CCGUUAUAUUGCUGGAAUAUUGCUAAAAGCGGCUGGAAUAUUGCUUAAAGCGGCUUAGAACCAAACUCACUCACUUACUCACUCACUCCUGUAUACACAAAUGCCAAAGGAGAUUUGGCAAAAACUAUCAGAAAGGAGUCGCGGUAUUUGCGGUUAAGUCGUUUAACCGUCAGUUGUCAGAUAUUCGGCAGUUGCCUUGUAAUAAUCAUUUGUGAAAUGCCUCUUCCUUGGGAAGUUGAUUUGCUAAAGAGAGUUUAGUACUAACAGAGUGGUGUCCCUUUGUAUGGCGAAUGGAGCGGCUGGAAAAUCAGCACCACGUGUCAGUUGGAACAUUCUAUCAUCCGACAAUAACUCAGAUGUCGCCUGAUGUGUUGAUAUAACUAAACGUAAUAGCUUCAGUCUAUCUAUAGUGCAGUUUGUUAGCACUUUGAUCGCCCCAAACAAAUCGCCAAGGUAUUAAUGGCUCCAUGUUUCAAAGCUGACUUUUGUUCUGUUGUUUGGGUGCAAUUUCAAUGUUAGUAAAUUGAUACUAAAUAAUGGACUCUUAAAGAGCUCUUGUACCAAAGAACCUAGUGGUUUCUGGAUUGGGUCGGCUUGUCGAUUUCCCUGUAUUCUUCAAUGUGUGAAGCUCAUUCUUCAUUCACUGAAGCCAAUUCUUAGCUUGAUUAUUGCCAAACGUUGCACAAAACAGAACUCACUCACUCAUUCUCUUGAGAUUGUUUCAGUAUGCGAGAUAAAUGUUUCUGAAUGACUUGAUCUCGUCACUAUAUGUCUGGAAUAAUGCCGAUGAGACAUAUUUUAGCCCAACUCAUCUUUAUUUAGGUUGACGGUCAACGUUCAUGUCAGCAAUAUUUGAAAAGGAGCGAACAUUUGUUUGGCCAUCUUUUCAAAGAGCAGGCAUUCUGUAAAGACUAUCACAAUCAGCACAAACAGGAAGUUUUAUUUAGCUGAAAAAUGAUAUUUCAAUAGUACUCCCUGUGUAUUAGAACUAACCCCUCCAUUUCCAGGGGGGCGGUGGGGUAGCCUAGUGGUUAAAGCGUUCGCUCGUCACGCUGAAGACCCGGGUUCGAUUCCCCACAUGGGUACAUUGUGUGAAGCUCA